rnacentral:rRNA from 1 species
UCGGAACGUAUCCUUAAGUGGGGGAUAACGCAUCGAAAGAUGCGCUAAUACCGCAUAAUCUCUAAGGAGAAAAGCAGGGGAUCGCAAGACCUUGCGCUUUUGGAGCGGCCGAUGUCUGAUUAGCUAGUUGGUGAGGUAAAGGCUUACCAAGGCUUCGAUCAGUAGCUGGUCUGAGAGGACGACCAGCCACACUGGAACUGAGACACGGUCCAG